GGGGGACUGUCUCCACGAGGAGCCCGGUGAAAAUACAGUACCGGUGAAGAUGCCGGUUACCUGCAGUUAGACGAAAAGACCCCGGGAGCUUUACUGCAACUUGGUAUUGGGUCUACCAUUCUCCUGCGUAGCAUAGGUGGGAGGCGUUGAAGUCCGGUUUUCGGAUCGGAUGGAGCCGUCAGUGAAAUACCACUCUGGAGAACCGUAGGUUCUAACCGCGCAAGAUGAAACUUGCGCGAGACAGUGCCUGGUGGGCAGUUUGAAUGGGGCAUUCUCCUCCUAAAGGGUAAUGGAGGAGUUCAAAGGUCGGCUUGGCGCGGAUGGAAAUCGCGCCGGACCCGUAACGGGAUAAGCCGGCUUGACUGCGAGGGGGACAUCCCGAGCAGGUGCGAAAGCAGGACGUAGUGAUCCGAUGGCCACGGUAGCUAUUCACACUCCGGGCGCAAGCUCGGGGCGUGGGUAGGUAUUACUUACUAGAACAAGGCCAGAGCUCAACGGAUAAAAGCUACCCCGGGGAUAACAGGCUAGUUGCGCCCGAGCGUCCACAGCGACGGCGCAGUUCGGCACCUCGAUGUCGGCUCACCUUAGCGCGGGGGUGGAGAAGCUCCCAAGCGUUGGGCUGUUCGCCCAUUAAAAAGGUACGCGAGCUGGGUUCAGACCGUCGAAAAGCAUCCGAUUACAUCAUCGGGUAGGCGGCCGGUGGCAGUAAUGUCGCCGAGUAAAACCGACUCAUAUCGGGGGAGUCCCACACUGUAUGGCCAAACCGUCAUAUGAUAGGAUAAUCCCGAGGGAAGUCGUGUAUGCUCAAAUCACUCUCGAACAUUAAGAAAGCUUAUAUCGCAGGCUUUCUCGAUGCUGAUGGAAGUAUCUACGUUAGGGCAAAACCGAAUCCAACCUACCGGUAUGAUUUCCAGGUUGCCCCGUACAUAGUUUUUUUCCAAUCAGCGAAGGACAGAGAUGGCUUCGCGAAGAUAGCGGAGUUGAUCGGAUACGGGCGUAUGCGAGAACGCAACGAUGGAAUUCUUGAGUAUGUCAUCAGCAGGACUGCUGAUAUCAAAGAAUUCUUAAGCUGUGUUCAGCCAUACCUCGUUCUGAAACAGCGGCAAGCAGCACUGAUGCUGCAGAUUCUCGAUGCGAAAGAGAGAGUGGAGAGACGAGGAGAUUUUGAGGCGUUGUUGAAACUCAUCGAUAGUUAUCGCAAGCUCAACUACUCAAAGAAUCGUAAAGAGCGUACAUUGACCCCGUAGAGACUUGUCGCGGAAGCGGCAGAGUUCAGAGCAAUCAGCUCCGAGCUAACACGUCGGUCACCCCUACCUUUCGAUCGAAAGAUGGGGGUGGUGGUAUAGUCCAUGCACCGAGUAAUCGGUGAGAAAACAUGCGUGAGACAGGUUGGUCUCCUAUCUACUGCAGGCGUGGAUACUUGAGGGGAGUCGUCCUUAGUACGAGAGGACCGGGAUGAACGGACCGCUGGUGUACCAGCUCUUCCGCCAGGAGGAUCGCUGGGUAGCUACGUCCGGACGGGAUAAGCGCUGAAAGCAUAUAAGUGCGAAGCCCACCCCAAGAUCAGGUAUCAUUUGAGGCCCGUGAGAGAUUAUCACGUUGAUAGGCCGCAGGUGUACGCGCGGUAACGCGCUCAGCCGAGCGGUACUAAUUGGCCGAUCGUACCCCCACA
rnacentral:rRNA from 1 species